AAUAAGCCAUCUGCCAAGAAAACAAACAUAAUAUAAAAAUUACACAAAUACAUAAUCCCCAGCCCAGAAGGAAGGGAGCAGCUGCCACCUGGUGCCAAACAGAACACAGUUUAAUAUUUAUCUAGCAGAGAAGGUUCCCCAACGGACUAUAAUUCCUCAGGGGGAGGGGGUCAAAAGAAGGUCAGUAAUGAAAAUCACCUCCACAGGUCCGGCCUAAACAGGGACCCAGUGGAAAUCAAUUCUGUGAGUUCAAUGUUGCUGUCCCCUGUCGUGGAUUGCACUCAGGAGGUACCCAAGGUGGCCAUCAAUCUGUCGUCAGAAAGGACGGAGGCUGGGGAGAAGGGAGGUAAUUGGAAUUGAGCUUCCGUGGACUCUUCCUCACGUAGCUGGAGAAAUACAGAGCAGAGCCAUCCCCAGGUAAGGAAAGUUGGGAUUUUGCGUCUGUCAUUGGGGGCUUGUGCCCGCCAGCUUUGAAUACCUGCUCUGGCAGCAGCAUUUCAUUCAAACCUUUUUUCUAACUCCAGGGCUGGUCUUGGAUUAGGACAAAAUCUAGUUUCCCUGUGAAAGAAGAAAUAUCCUUUCCCAUUGCCUCAGUCAACUUGCUGUGAUUUAUACACAACUCAUAGCUAAUUUCUUAAUCAAAUAUCCUCCGACUGAGUAGAAAUUUACUUAUUAGGGCUUGUAGGAUGGGUGGAAGCUAGACAGUCUUCUGUUUCAUAAAGAGAUUGGGAUGCGAGACUAAUUGUGCCAGUCGGCAUGACGGUCCUAAGAAAGAGGCAGUUUACAGAACUGUGUAAAUCAGAAGUGUCCUUAAACUGUGCUUGGGGAGAUAUGAUAUGGCAAAACGUCUACCAAUAAACUGGAGCAUUACAGCAAAUUACCCCGUUUAUACAUGCAGGCAAAGCUUCGCCUCUUAUGCCAUGUUGGAGAGCCAAUAAAGCUUGCAAAUGUGAUGGGAGUCACUAUUUCUGCCUCUGUGCAGCUGUUUAUCAGCAGCUUUUUAACACAUUUUCCCAUAUUAAUGAGGUGGCAUAGCAGUUCCAGAAUUAGAACAGUGGGAUGUAUCAUUGUCUGCCUUAUCCCAAGAUAUGCCGGCUGUCAGCAGCGCUACCAGGGGAUGUACAAUGAAAGAUGAGCGUUUCAGUGGGCGCAGCCUGUGCACACUGUUCCAUCCUUCCUGUACCCCAGCCCCCCGUUACGCUCAUUUCCUGUCCAGUGCUGUUGUCUCUGUAAUAUGCACGACUCCCUGCAACUUGAGUCUUUGUUUAACACUCUGUAUGUCUGUAGGGCUUGCUUGCAAAUCCCUUGUUGCUUUUCCAGUUUCUAAUCGAAUCUCUUAUAUGUAGUAGGUACUUCUCAAAUAGUGAAUGAAUGAAUGACUGAAUGAAUGCAUAAAGAGGGAGGCAGAUGAAAUGUUUCCCCCCAGAGACUGUCUUCCUCAGAAACAGCCAGUGUGGCCUCAAGGAGCAGAGCAGGUGUGUUGGUUGCAUGGCCUUCCCUGCAUCUGUGAAUGCAGGUAAGACGGAGGGCGGGGUCUAGUGCACAAACUGCUGGGAGAGACGGUAAGAAUCAUGCAUCCCAGAGAUCACAAGUGCAGGCCUGCAGCUGGUGCCAGAAUGCAGUGACGUUUCCACUACCCGCGGUAUCAGAGAAGUAAAGACAACAUGUGACUUUUUUGCAGAGCUGAGGAUUCGGAAAUUGGGUCUUUUUAUUUGAGUGCCCUCCUUUUAAAGAACUGAUCCCAGUUCUCUAAAAGACAAUGGUUUGCUUUUUCUUUUGUCAAGUGCCAUCACAAUAUAUUCCUUUGAAUUCUAUUAAUUCCCAAACCUUCCUCGUGCUUUUAGGAGUUGGGUGGCCUUUUUAGUGGUCUCUGAAAUCCCAAAGUCUGAACCACUGAAUUAACUCGUAUCCAUCUUCCUGAAACGUGCUACUGAAAUCACAGGUUGGCCCAAAUUGAGUCACUGGACUGUUUAAAUGGAUUCACUGGGUUCAGUAAAUAAGAUCCUUUAAGGCUAACAAGAGCUUGUCUGUGUUGUUUGUGGACAGCAGGGAUCCAGGCUGGGUCAUAGGUUUGUAGUAAUGCCUAGGACAGUCUUAAAUUCAGGUCAGUCACAGUGCCAGAGGUGCCCAGAGGUCUGAUUUACCACGAUCUAAUGUGUUCUGCUUUGCUGAGCAUGUAGUUGCUGUCUGUCUUUAGACCACACAUGUGCUCCAAUUGUGUACCACAGAGUGCUUCUCCGAUCUACGAGAACCCAAGUUGCUGUGAAAUCUGGAAGGAAGCAACCCUACCCCACCAGCAAAUCCCCACGAGGCUCUGUACAGACACGUCUCUCCUUCCCCUAUUCCUGCAGGACCUGCUGUCACGGUGACACAGCCCAGCAUCCGGGUCUGUCCUGUGCCCAUCUUAUCAGCCAUGGUUUUAUCUCCCGUAAAGAAUGGGAACACGCCAUCUGAAUCCUGUCACUAGUUAAUACAUUUCGUUUUCCUUUUUGCACAGGACAUUGGUCUCUCCUGCUUCCACAUAUGUGGGAAGGAACUGAGAUUCCACUUGUCCACUGGGUUUUCAGCUUUGGCUCUGGAGCUGAUGGGCUGACAAGCUCACGAGUGACUGCUGCAUCCCAAAGCACCUGGAUCCCUGUUGCUAGGAGAGAAUAGCAGUGUUGACCUGCAUCGGCGCGAAACUGUCACCUGCAUUAGCUGUCUAAUGAUACUAACGCUCUUUGAGAAUAUAAAUGUGAACAUUAUCAUUAUGGCUAAAACCAGUCUUUGCUUUAAUGUUAUUUUUUCUUCCUCCAAGAAGAGAGGCAGAAAGAUCAUUUAAGGAUGUAGUGAAUAGAGAGCUAGGGUUUAUUCUUAAUUCAUGACUGGCUUUGAUCAGACCAGCAUCAGCAGCAGGAAUGCCGUCUUAAAGUCCUGAAGUUCUGAAGGCCAGCUGUCUGAGCCUGGCUUGGAGAGCUGAAAUCAAGGUUAUCAGUGGGGAGCAUCUUGCUAGAGGUUCCAGAAGUCAGUUGGUUCCCUGCCUCAUCCACCAUCAGUGGCUUUUGUGACUGUCACUCUAGUUCCUGCUUGGUCACCAGAAUGUUUUCUUCUCUAUCAAGUCUCCCUCUCCCUGAGCCUGCCAAGCCUGCCACUAAGUGAGGUUCCAUGUGGUACUGUGGAUCUGGGGCCUUGUGCAUCUUAG